rnacentral:rRNA from 1 species
CCUACGGGGGGCAGCAGUGAGGAAUAUUGGACAAUGGGCGCAAGCCUGAUCCAGCCAUGCCGCGUGAAUGAUGAAGGCCUUAGGGUUGUAAAGUUCUUUUGUUGAAGAUGCUGUAGCAGCAGAAAAAGCCCCGGCUAACUCCGUGCCAGCAGCCGCGGUAAUACGGAGGGGGCGAGCGUUGUUCGGAUUUACUGGGCGUAAAGCGUGCGUAGGUGGUUUCCCAAGUUAGAAGUGAAAGCCCAGGGCUUAACCCUGGAACUGCUUUUAAAACUGGGUCACUAGAAUUUAGGAGAGGCAGAUGGAAUUCCGAGUGUAGAGGUGAAAUUCGUAGAUAUUCGGAGGAACACCAAUGGCGAAAGCAGUCUGCUGGACUAAAUGACACUGAGGCACGAAAGCGUGGGGAGCAAACAGGAUUAGAUACCCUGGUAGUC